GUGGUGGCUCCAUGGGAGAGAAUCUUCUUUGCAUUCAGAAGGUGCCAGGUUCAAUCCCUGGCAUCUCCA
rnacentral:tRNA from 1 species